AACGAACGCUGGCGGCAUGCCUAACACAUGCAAGUCGAACGAGACCUUCGGGUCUAGUGGCGCACGGGUGCGUAACGCGUGGGAACCUGCCCUUAGGUUCGGAAUAACUCCCCGAAAGGGGUGCUAAUACCGGAUAAUGUCUUCGGACCAAAGAUUUAUCGCCUUUGGAUGGGCCCGCGUUGGGUUAGCUAGUUGGUAGGGUAAAAGCCUACCAAGGCGACGAUCCAUAGCUGGUCUGAGAGGAUGAUCAGCCACACUGGGACUGAGACACGGCCCAGACCCCUACGGGAGGCAGCAGUGGGGAAUAUUGGACAAUGGGCGAAAGCCUGAUCCAGCAAUGCCGCGUGAGUGAUGAAGGCCUUAGGGUUGUAAAGCUCUUUUACCCGGGAUGAUAAUGACAGUACCGGGAGAAUAAGCUCCGGCUAACUCCGUG
rnacentral:rRNA from 1 species